GAAAUGCGAUAAGUAAUGUGAAUUGCAGAAUUCCGUGAAUCAUCGAAUCUUUGAACGCACAUUGCGCCCUCUGGCAUUCCGGGGGGCAUGCCUGUCCGAGCGUCAUUACGCACCCUCAAGCCCGGCUUGUGUGAUGGGCCCUGGCGUCUCGUUCGCGAGACGGGCCCGAAAGGCAGCGGCGGCGUCGACCCGAUGAGCCCGAGCGUAUGGGCACUUUUGUCACACGUUUGCGGUGCGGACCGGCGCCUGCUUGACUUUUCUGAUUAUCCAGGUUGACCUCGGAUCAGGUAGGGAUACCCGCUGAACUUAAGC
rnacentral:misc_RNA from 1 species